GUGGUGGCUGCGCUUGCGAGGACCCUGAGGUAGAUUGGGUGGUUUCAACAGGAACGCAUCCACUGUCUGAGAGUUUAAACUUGAUUUUGUGAGGGGACGAACAGCGUGACAAUUAAAAGAAGAUCUGGGAAUCAAAAGCUUCCUGAGGCCUUCACCAGAAGCAGAUGCUGGUGCCGUGCUUCUACAGCCUGCAGAACUCAUCACCGCUCUUGCACUCCAAGCCAUUAUUAAGUAAAGUAAAGAACACAAACACUGUGAUACUGCUACACUUGAUCUGAUAACCAAGAAGUCUACUAAGUGACUAACAGUUAAUAUUUUUGGACAUGAGGUGACUGCAGUUAACUAAAACCAUGGAAAGCAAACCCAUAGAUAAAGGGAUACUAUGCAGAGCAACUGGGAACCUAAUUCUGACCAAAAAGGAGGAAUUGUUUGGCUAAUUGGAAGUGACAGAAACCUUGGGAGAAAGCAACCGCAUACCAAGGAUAAUUAUAAGAAGAAGAGAAGACAUGGAGAAGAGGAGGGAGUAGUUGUGACCGUGGAGGCAGAGAAUGGAGUAAUGUGAUCAUAAAUCAAGGAAUGCUGACAGCCACUAAAGCUGGAGAAGGCCAAGGACAGAUAUUCAAUCCUCCCGUAGAAGUACAGCCCUGCUAAUGCAUUGAUUUUGGACUUCUGGCCUCAGAACUGUAAGAGAAUAAAUUUCUAUUGUUUUAAGCCUUC
rnacentral:lncRNA from 1 species